rnacentral:rRNA from 1 species
CUUAUACUGGGGGAUAGCCUUUAGAAAUGAAGAUUAAUACCCCAUAGUAUGUGACUGUGGCAUCACAGACACAUUAAAGGUUACGGUAUAAGAUGAGCAUGCGUCCUAUUAGCUAGAUGGUGUGGUAACGGCACACCAUGGCGACGAUAGGUAGGGGCCCUGAGAGGGGGAUCCCCCACACUGGCACUGAGACACGGACCAGACUCCUACGGGAGGCAGCAGUGAGGAAUAUUGGACAAUGGAGGCAACCCUGAUCCAGCCAUGCCGCGUGCAGGAAGACUGCCCUAUGGUUGUAAACUGCUUUUAUACGGGAAGAAACACCCCUACGUGUAGGGACUUGACGGUACCGUAAGAAUAAGCAUCGGCUAACUCCGUGCCAGCAGCCGCGGUAAUACGGAGGAUGCAAGCGUUAUCCGGAAUCAUUGGGUUUAAAGGGUCCGUAGCGGGCAAUUAAGUCAGAGGUGAAAGUUUGCGGCUCAACCGUAAAAUUGCCUUUGAUACUGGUUGUCUUGAAUCAUUGUGAAGUGGUUAGAAUAUGUAGUGUAGCGGUGAAAUGCAUAGAGAUUACAUAGAAUACCAAUUGCGAAGCAGAUCACUAACAAUGUAUUGACGCUGAGGGACGAAAGCGUGGGGAGCGAACAGGAUUAGAUACCCUGGUAGUCCACGCCGUAAACGAUGGAUACUAGCUGUUCGAUCUUCGGAUUGAGUGGCUAAGCGAAAGUGAUAAGUAUCCCACCUGGGGAGUACGUUCGCAAGAAUGAAACUCAAAGGAAUUGACGGGGGCCC